UCAGGAUGAACGCUAGCUACAGGCUUAACACAUGCAAGUCGAGGGGCAGCAUUGGGAUAGCUGCUAUUCCAGAUGGCGACCGGCGCACGGUGAGUAACGCGUAUCCAACCUUCCCUAUAGUAGAGAAUAGCCCGGCGAAAGUCGGAUUAAUGCUCUAUGUUGUGUUUUGAGGACAUCUGACGAACACCAAAGGUUCACCGCUAUAGGAUGGGGAUGCGUCUGAUUAGCUUGUUGGCGGGGUAACGGCCCACCAAGGCGACGAUCAGUAGGGGUUCUGAGAGGAAGGUCCCCCACAUUGGUACUGAGACACGGACCAAACUCCUACGGGAGGCAGCAGUGAGGAAUAUUGGUCAAUGGGCGAGAGCCUGAACCAGCCAAGUAGCGUGCAAGGACGACUGCCCUAUGGGUUGUAAACUGCUUUUAUCAGGGAAUAAAGUGCGGCACGUGUGCCGUUUUGUAUGUACCUGAUGAAUAAGGACCGGCUAAUUCCGUGCCAGCCGCAGC
rnacentral:rRNA from 1 species